GGGCUCGUGGUCUAGGGGUUAUGACGCUGCCCUUACGAGGCAGAGGUCGCCGGUUCGAAUCCGGCCGAGCCCA
rnacentral:tRNA from 1 species